rnacentral:rRNA from 1 species
AUGGCUCCGCCAACGCGUCUGAAUCCGGAUCGCAAUGAUGGGAGUCAGGCGAACCCUCCACCUCCACCUCCGCCUCCGGAGGCAUGGCAAGCUUUGAUGGCAGCCUCUAACGCCCAUGCUCAGAUGAUGAUCCAGCUCAUGCAAGAGCGCAACCAAGGCCAAGGCAACCAAGGGAAUCAAGGUCAAGGGCAGUUCAAUCAUCAGCCUCAGUUUCCAACCCUCAACCAAUUCCUUGCAAAUCAGCCGAAGUCUUUCAGCUAUUGUGUCGAGGCCACAGACGCCGAUGAUUGGCUCGUGGAUAUCAACAAGCAUUUUGAAUGCAGCAAUGUCAGGCCUGAGGACUAUGUCAAGUUCGCUUCUUUUCAGCUCAAGGACCAGGCAGCUGAUUGGUUCCAGCAAUACAAGGAUUCCAGAGGUGGUCGAGUGAUUACUUGGACUGAUUUCUGUCGGGACUUUAAAGCUCACCAUAUUCCUACCAGUGUUGUUGAGAGCAAGCGUGAGGAGUUCCGCAAUCUCAAGCAAGGCAACAUGUCAGUGUAUGAAUACAACAAGCAGUUUCAGAAACUUGCUCGCUUUGCUAAGCAGGAUGUUCCAGAUGAGAAAAGUAUGAUCUAUUAG